AUGUCGGAGAGACCGCAGCCCAGCCUCUGCCACCGCAGAGCUGCUUAUCCGGCAGCGCGACUCCCUCGGGCACCUUUCCAGGGGCGUGUGGGCUUCGCUACAGAAAUCCAGCGUCUCAAUGGCCUGAAAGAGUAUUGCAGUACCUUUGGAGAAGCUCUUGCGGUGCAACAAAGCCAAGAUGAGCCUUUGAGAAGCAGAAAAGUGUUUGUGGGAUGCGGUACAGAGGACGUGACUGAGGAUGAGCUGCGGGAGUUCUUCUCUCAGUGUGGGGAUGUGAUGGAUGUCUUCAUCCCCGAGACAUUCAGGGCCUUUGCGUUUGUUACAUUUGCAGAUGGUCAGAUGGCGCAGUCUCUUUGUGGAGAGGACUUGAUGAUUAAAGGAAUCAGCGUUCAUAUAUAUCCAAUGCCGAACCUAAGCACAAUAGCAAUAGAAAGAAGUGAAAGAUUUGGUUGUAAUCCAGGUGGCUUUGGGAAUCAGGGUGCAUUUGGUAACAGUAGAGGGGGUGGAGCUGGUUUGGGAAACAAGGUAGUAAUACGGGUGGUGGGAUAAACUUUGGUGCACUCAGCAUUAAUCCAGCCAUGAUGGCUGCCGCCCAGGCAGCGUAACAGAGCAGUUGGUGUAUGAUGGGCAUGUUAGCCAGUCAGCAGAACCAGUCAGGCCCAUCGGGUAAGAACCAAAGCCAAGGCAACAUGCAGAGGGAGCCAAACCAGGCGUUUGGUUCUCGAAAUAACUCUUAGAGUGGUUCUAAUUUUGGUGCGGCAAUUGGCUGGGGAUCUGCAUCAAAUGCAGGGUUGGGCAGUGGUUUUAAUGGAGGCUUUGGCUCAAGCAUGGAUUCUAAGUCUUCCGGCUGGGGACUGUAGACAGUGGGGUUAGGGCUGGUUGGUAUAGAAUGGCUGGAAUUCAAAUUUUUCUAAACUCAUGGUAAGCAUAUUGUAAAAUACAUAUGUGCUAUGCAUUUUCAAAAUUGGUUUGUUCAGUGCGGAGUAUAUUCAGCAGUAUUUUUGACAUUUUUCUUUAGAAAAACGAACAGCUAAAGGAAUCUUAUAAGUUUUGUUACAUGAAAGGUUGAAAUAGUGAGUGGUUGAAAGUGAACUGCUGUUUGCCUGAUUGGUAAACCAACACACUACAAUUGGUAGUAAAAGGUUUCUCCUGUAAUAUUUUAUCUCUGGACUUGUCAAGUGAAUUCUUUGCAUGUUCAAAAUGGAAACCAUGGAUUAGAACUACAUUCUUUACCCCUUGUUUUAAUUUGAACCCCACCAUAUGGAUUUUUUUCCUUAAGAAAAUCUCCUUUUAGGAGAUCAUGGUGUCACAGUGUUUGGUUCUUUCACUUUGUUUUUUAACAUUUGUCUCCCCUUAAAUACAAAAGUACAAUAUGAAGCCUUCAUUUAAUCUCUGCAGUUCAU